AUUGAACGCUGGCGGCAUGCCUUACACAUGCAAGUCGAACGGCAGCACGGGAGCAAUCCUGGUGGCGAGUGGCGAACGGGUGAGUAAUAUAUCGGAACGUGCCCAGUCGUGGGGGAUAACGUAGCGAAAGCUACGCUAAUACCGCAUACGAUCUACGGAUGAAAGCGGGGGAUCGCAAGACCUCGCGCGAUUGGAGCGGCCGAUAUCAGAUUAGCUAGUUGGUGGGGUAAAAGCUCACCAAGGCGACGAUCUGUAGCUGGUCUGAGAGGACGACCAGCCACACUGGAACUGAGACACGGUCCAGACUCCUACGGGAGGCAGCAGUGGGGAAUUUUGGACAAUGGGCGCAAGCCUGAUCCAGCAAUGCCGCGUGCAGGGAUGAAGGCCUUCGGGUUGUAAACUGCUUUUGUACGGAACGAAACGGUGAGCUCUAAUAAAGCUUGCUAAUGACGUACCGUAAGAAUAAGCACCGGCUAACUACGUGCC
rnacentral:rRNA from 1 species